AUUGAACGCUGGCGGCAUGCCUUACACAUGCAAGUCGAACGGUAACAGGUCUUCGGAUGCUGACGAGUGGCGAACGGGUGAGUAAUACAUCGGAACGUGCCCGAUCGUGGGGGAUAACGAAGCGAAAGCUUUGCUAAUACCGCAUACGUUCUACGGAUGAAAGCAGGGGACCGCAAGGCCUUGCGCGAACGGAGCGGCCGAUGGCAGAUUAGGUAGUUGGUGGGAUAAAAGCUUACCAAGCCGACGAUCUGUAGCUGGUCUGAGAGGACGACCAGCCACACUGGGACUGAGACACGGCCCAGACUCCUACGGGAGGCAGCGGUGGGGAAUUUUGGACAAUGGGCGAAAGCCUGAUCCAGCCAUGCCGCGUGCAGGAUGAAGGCCUUCGGGUUGUAAACUGCUUUUGUACGGAACGAAAAGACUCUGGUUAAUACCUGGGGUCCAUGACGGUACCGUAAGAAUAAGCACCGGCUAACUACGUGCCAGCCGCCGCCGUAA
rnacentral:rRNA from 1 species